rnacentral:rRNA from 1 species
GAUGAACGCUGGCGGCGUGCCUAAUACAUGCAAGUCGAACGCUUCACUUCGGUGAAGAGUGGCGAACGGGUGAGUAAUACAUAAGUAACCUGGCAUCUACAGGGGGAUAACUGAUGGAAACGUCAGCUAAGACCGCAUAGGCGUAGAGAUCGCAUGAACUCUAUAUGAAAAGUGCUACGGGACUGGUAGAUGAUGGACUUAUGGCGCAUUAGCUUGUUGGUAGGGUAACGGCCUACCAAGGCGACGAUGCGUAGCCGACCUGAGAGGGUGACCGGCCACACUGGGACUGAGACACGGCCCAGACUCCUACGGGAGGCAGCAGUAGGGAAUUUUCGGCAAUGGGGGAAACCCUGACCGAGCAACGCCGCGUGAAGGAAGAAGUAAUUCGUUAUGUAAACUUCUGUCAUAGAGGAAGAACGGUGGAUAUAGGGAAUGAUAUCCAAGUGACGGUACUCUAUAAGAAAGCCACGGCUAACUACGUG